UUUGCCUACGGGGGGCAGCAGUGAGGAAUAUUGGUCAAUGGACGCAAGUCUGAACCAGCCAUGCCGCGUGCAGGAAGACGGCUGUAUGAGUUGUAAACUGCUUUUGUACGAGGGUAAAUCCCGAUACGUGUAUCGGGUUGAAAGUAUCGUACGAAUAAGGAUCGGCUAACUCCGUGCCAGCAGCCGCGGUAAUACGGAGGAUUCAAGCGUUAUCCGGAUUUAUUGGGUUUAAAGGGUGCGUAGGCGGUUCGAUAAGUUCGAGGUGAAAUCCCGGGGCUACACUGCGGCACUGCCUAUGAUAGUGU
rnacentral:rRNA from 1 species